AUGGCGACCGGCGCACGGGUGAGUAACACGUAUCCAACCUGCCGAUGACUCGGGGAUAGCCUUUCGAAAGAAAGAUUAAUACCCGAUGGCAUAGUUCUUCCGCAUGGUAGAACUAUUAAAGAAUUUCGGUCAUCGAUGGGGAUGCGUUCCAUUAGCUUGUUGGCGGGGUAACGGCCCACCAAGGCAUCGAUGGAUAGGGGUUCUGAGAGGAAGGUCCCCCACAUUGGAACCGAGACACGGUCCAAACUCCUACGGAAGGCAGCAG
rnacentral:rRNA from 1 species